AUAUAUUUGUGAUUGUGCCAUUGCCCAGAAUUUUUAAAUGUUUUUGCAUAUCAAGAAAGUAGAUGAGUAGCCUCAAAUAAAAGGUUGACUCUGCCAUAAAGACUUAUAUUCCUGAAGUGUUGAAAAGGACAAAAUAUGAAAACAUUGGAAGAAACAAUAAAUGUCAUGAAUAUAUUUUAUACUUUAUAUGUAGUUAUUGCACACCAUUUUUAAAUGGCAGAAAGUAAUACUGUUGUGCCUAAACAAAAGAAAACAUUUGCACAAUCAAUGUAAUAUUUAAAUAUUCAUAAUUAUUAUUAGUAAUCAAAAUUCAGAUUAUAACAUUUAAGCUUGCCAACUCCUGACGAGUUCAUUCCAUGAGUUUUCUAUUCUAGGAGUAAAAGAUUUUGGGAGAUUUGACAUUCAGAAGAUGGAGAAUUUUAAAAAUUUUUGAUAAAUUUUGGGGGUCUCCAGGUGAAUUAAGGAGAAUUGGCAACUCUAAUAACAUUGAAAAGCACAAUGAGUUUAUAACUUAUUAGGAUGACAAUUAUUGUAUUACAUGCCUUAACUGUCAAAGUACUUUGAAAUGAUGUCAUUACGUAGAUAGAGGAUAAUCACUCAAAAUUUAUCAGCUUACUAGAUAUGAUUAAAUACUCUUGUUUGAAUUUAUAUCAGUUUAAGUGUGGCAGUGUUGUCACAGGUGGCAACACUAUCUCAAACAGAUCAUAAUAUUUUUUUAAAAUUCGGUUUGUGUUAGCCAGUCUUUAUCAAAUUUACAAGUUCACUUCCUCUUUUUUGGUUUUCAAUUUCUUGAGUUGUCAUAUUAAAUAAUUAAAAUUGAAAUUAUAAACUUGUAAACUGAAACUGUCACAUUCGCUUUACAAUAAGUUUGUUGCAACACAAGUCCCUGACUGGUUUGAAUUUGAAAUCAUACAAGACAUGCGCAAUGUCAUUUUACAGAAAAAACUGAACAAUGCGCAUGCCAGUUUUAAACCAGUUAUGGACUGGUGUUGGAACAAACCUAAUAUUUGCCAGAGAUAUUUACAAGUUAGAAUUUUAAAAGUACAUUUUCUGUCACUCUUAGCCUAGGGAUAAGUUUGGAUGGGUGUGAAGUUAGUCUUUAACUGUUAAAAUAAAAUACUUGCAAAUAUUUUAAUAAAUUUAUUUUGUUUCAUCAUAAUUUCACAAUUUCUACAAAAACUGGACAAAUUAAUAAUUAAUCCAGACCAUGAAUUUAAAAACCAGCUUGUCUGGAUGAAAACAGGCCUGGUGGCAACACUAAAGUGUGGAUUGAACAUACAGAAAAUGCAUAGGAGAGAAUAAAGAAAUCCUAAAACUGAUACAAAAAGCAAAUAAUAAUGAGACUCUAAACCAGUCUAAGGCUGCAUUUAUGAAGAUGUGAGAAAUGCAAGAAAAGAGAGAAAAAUAGGAGGAAAAGGAAAACCAAGCAAACCAAGGUCAUGCACCAACAGGAGUAUACUCUUUGUUUUCCUCUAGUUGCAUUUAUGCAAAAGCAGGAACAAAAAGAGAAUUAUGAUAAAUUUUACAAUGAAGUUAAAGAAAGAUGAAACAAAAAAAAUAAAUAAAUAAAACUUCUUUAUUAACAUUCCUUCAUUUUUAUUUAUGGCUUUCCUGUGUAUUUUCUUUUUGCAGCUUCUCUGGCUCUUUUCUUCACAUUUGACAGAUUGCUGAUGUUCUCCUUUGUUUCUAUUUUAUUGUUGUCAUUGUGUAGAAGCAAGACUGCUGAACUACUGCAUAUGUGCCAACUCAGGAGAGGAGAAAAAGCUCAACAGAUUGAAAUUUUGAGAAUGAAGGAAACUAGUGUAUUUUUUGCAUGUAACACACAAGAACUCUAUUUCCCUCUUCUGCAUAAACUGCAUUCUGAAUGCAAAUUCUUAUUCUAAAAGUUCUGCUCUUUUGCCUGUAUUUCCCUCUUCUCACAUCUGCAUAAAUGCAGCCUAAUGUCUUUGGGUUCUAUUUGUAGUUUCAUGAUGGAAGGAAAUUGAUAGAUGAUGAUGAGAGUUCUUUUAUUUGAGUCAAUCUAUCCCACAUUGAAUCAAAUAAAAGAAUACAUUGCUGCUAUUGCUGAGUUGUUAAAAAUUGAUUGUAAAAUAAUAUCAUGGAUGACAGCUGAAACUUCGAAUUUUUCCAAAAAUGUUGCUAUUUACAUUUUGAGAGAAGAUUUGAGGAAGAAGGCAUGUGCUUGAACUGUCUCAUAUAACUUGGCUACUGAAUAAAGAUCCAAAUCAAGUCACAUGUUAUUAGGACAUCAUUGCAAUGGUGGAUGCAGAGGAAAAUUUCUGUUGGAAAAUCAUUAUAGGAGAUGACAUUUGACAUUUUGCUUAUGAUCCUGAAACCAAGUGAUAGAGUUCUGAAUGGAUUAAUCAGCUAUCUUCCACACCAAAACAAUUGAAAUUCCAAAAGUCACACAUCAAAAUGAUAUUGAUCAGUUUUUUGACUCAAGUUAUUCACAAAAAGCUUAUACUUAAAGGGAGAAGAAUAAAUGCAGACUUUUAUAUAAAAAGUAUUGUAGAUUGUCUCCUGAAGUGAUUUCAGUGAAUUUGUCCUGCCCUAUUCCACUCAUGAGAUUUUCUUCCUGUUACAUGAUAAAAUGUCCAUUCACAAAGGUGUAAGCUUGCAUUGACUUUUGACACAAAAAAGUAAUUUACACUAUUUAUCACCCCACUUAUUCACCAGAUUUGUUCACUUUGAAUAGGGUUGCUAUAUGACCUGAUUUAUUUUAUUUAUUUUUUCUAUGUGUAUAAUAUGGCCUGUGAAAACAUGAAAAACAUUUGUAAUUUCCACAUUAAAAUCUUAACCACUGGGUGAUUCACUUGAGAUCAAACACUUAUUGUGUAGAAUAUCUGUAUAUAAAGUGAAAAGAUGAACAUGAAACAUAAAUGGAACAUCUAUGAGAUAAUGCUAUGGACCAAGGGGUCUUUUUAAUGCCAUGUGACCAUGCCAUCAUGAGUUAUUAAAGAAAAUAAGUGUUCAGACAUGAGUGAAUCUCCCUGUAUCAGUAUGGGUUGCUAGCAUUGUGCUGUAUGAAAUAAGAUUUGUUUCUGAUUGUCACAAAAUAGUCUGCAAAAGAGCAUAUGCAGAAACAGAAUAAGAAAUACAAGGAAAUAGGUAAUAUAUAUAAAAGAUCAAUUUUGCAUAAUUUCUCAACUGUCAUUCUGUAGAGAUUUUUGUAACGAUUCACAAAAUUAUGGCCCAAAGAAAUAUUUUGAUGAAAUCAUAAAAAAAUAAAAUAAAAGAAAGUAAAUAUUUGAUGAAAAACAAAUAUUUUUAUUGUUAAUGUUGGAGCAAAUAAAUUGGAUGGCUGCUAAUCUUGCUAUAUAUCUUAUGAAUAAAAUUCUUCAUAUUCAGAAGUUGAAAAGUUAUUCAAUGAGAAACAGUAAUGAUCAGGUUAUUCUUUAUGUUUACUAUAAUAUUGGAUUAUUUGUUUAGCAUUUCAGUUUUGAUUUUCUUAUUGAGUUUAUUUAAUUUUAUUUAUUUUGAUGUAAAUAGGAAUAUGUAAAAAUACAUUUGUUUUUGAAGGUUCAAAGCAGAAAAUUUGAACAGACAGUCAGUCAGUCAGUCAAAAUAAUCUAUUGUCUGACACCACUGAGCAUAGCCAGGCAGAAAUACAGAAAAAUACA
rnacentral:lncRNA from 1 species